UACGAAGGGAGCUAGCGUUGUUCGGAUUUACUGGGCGUAAAGGGCGCGUAGGCGGCUUAACAAGUCACUUGUGAAAUCUCCGGGCUUAACUCGGAACGGCCAAGUGAAACUGUCAAGCUAGAGUGCGGAAGGGGCAAUCGGAAUUCUUGGUGUAGCGGUGAAAUGCGUAGAUAUCAAGAGGAACACCUGAGGUGAAGACGGGUUGCUGGGCCGACACUGACGCUGAUGCGCGAAAGCCAGGGGAGCAAACGGG
rnacentral:rRNA from 1 species